rnacentral:piRNA from 1 species
UGAGAAUGUGAUAUGGCUAUCCAAGG